GCCGCGUGUAUGAAGAAGGCCUUCGGGUUGUAAAGUACUUUCAGCGGGGAGGAAGGCGAUGYGGUUAAUAACCGCGUCGAUUGACGUUACCCGCAGAAGAAGCACCGGCUAACUCCGUGCCAGCAGCCGCGGUAAUACGGAGGGUGCAAGCGUUAAUCGGAAUUACUGGGCGUAAAGCGCACGCAGGCGGUCUGUCAAGUCGGAUGUGAAAUCCCCGGGCUCAACCUGGGAACUGCAUCCGAAACUGGCAGGCUUGAGUCUCGUAGAGGGGGGUAGAAUUCCAGGUGUAGCGGUGAAAUGCGUAGAGAUCUGGAGGAAUACCGGUGGCGAAGGCGGCCCCCUG
rnacentral:rRNA from 1 species